rnacentral:rRNA from 1 species
AACGAACGCUGGCGGCGUGCCUAACACAUGCAAGUCGCGCGCGAAAGUCUUCGGAUGAGUAGAGCGGCGCACGGGUGAGUAACACGUGGGUAAUCUGCCCUUAGGUCUGGAAUAACUCGGCGAAAGCCGUGCUAAUACCGGAUAAUACCAAUUCUCGAAAGUGAGUUGGGAAAAGCGGAGGCCUCCUUCGGGAGCUUCGUGCCAAAGGAUGAGCCCGCGGCCCAUCAGCUAGUUGGCGGGGUAAUGGCCCACCAAGGCUAAGACGGGUAGCUGGUCUGAGAGGAUGAUCAGCCACACUGGAACUGAGACACGGUCCAGACUCCUACGGGAGGCAGCAGUGGGGAAGUCUUGCGCAAUGGGCGAAAGCCUGACGCAGCAACGCCGCGUGUGUGAUGAAGGUCUUCGGAUCGUAAAGCACUGUCGGCAGG